rnacentral:tRNA from 1 species
GGAUAUGGCGAAAUUGGUAGACGCUACGGACU